CCUAGAAAAUAGUUAGGAAGUACGGAAUUGAUAUCCUUCAUAUCCUUAACAAUGGCCACCAUCGCCGACUCUCGCAAUCGUCUAUUCUCUGCACAGCAUGCCUGUGAUGAUCCAAUCCAUGUUUUUGAGGUGUACUGAGGCCAAGUCCCUGUUUUGCAAGGAGAACCAACUUGGUCCUCAUUCACAAUCCAAGCUCUUCAAGUUAUUACCAUUUAUUGGAAGAACGUCGAUGGAUGCAAGGUAAACAUGGAAAUUGAUGCGCCUAUUUCUGUUACUAUUACUAAAAAUGUUACUCUAAUGGUGAGGCAGUUCGCCAUUGAAUGCCUUCUGUCAUAUGUAAAGGUGUGUGAAUGCCUAUGAUGAAUAUAUAUAUUCCCUUUUCCCUCCAUUAAGGUGCAUUAUGCUCCACCGUAGCUUAUAUAGACAAACCUAAGCAGUGUUUUAGUUUGGAAUAGAUCAUCCAUAAGCAUA